CAGUCGUACCGACGGGAAUUCAACUUCUCGAGUGCUAAUCGUGGGUGACGUUGAGCCUCACGGCCUUCGUUGCUUGUGUUGUUGGUGCCUUUGUGGUGUACUUUUCCGUAUUGGUAGGUCAGCAUCGAUUUCGAUCGUCAUAAAAUGAUCGGGGGAAUGUAGCUUCGGUCUCGUAUCGGAGUGUUAUAGACCUUGGUAGAUGUGACGAUUGGGAUCGAGGAUUGCAACGAAUACCCUCUGGGCUAUCCGUCUGACCUCUGAAAGUCGCUCGGGUGUCGAAAGCUUGCUUAUGGCUAUUCGAGUUGGCGGUCAAUAGGUUAGAACGUGAUUAUA
rnacentral:rRNA from 1 species